rnacentral:misc_RNA from 1 species
ACCACCGAGCCCCAUUACAACUGCGGUAAUAAAAGCGCGAAAGCUUCGCUCACGCAAACUUUCCAACUUUUUAUUUGACGUCUUCAAGCGCCCCUUAUUGUCUACCAAUACCGAGUAUUGUUGAAUUAAAUUUUUUGUUGUUUUUACCAUCGGACUCGACUCGAACUGAAAAAUGUACAAAACUCGGCUCAUUCUUGUGAUUGUUUUUUUCGGAAUUGUAACCGCUUCGGUGGCACUGAAAUGCUGGCAGUGUGGACAGUAUAAUGAUGGGGUUGGCUCCAUCACGCCCUGCAUCAAUCGUUCGCACACUGUGCUCAAAGAAUGCCCCCAAAUUGAUCAGACUUAUUGUAUAAAAUAUGUCAGCGAAGGUUCGCUAGUCAAAGACUGUGUCGCCCAUUGCGUCGAGAAAGAAACAUGGGGUACGAAGACGCAUUGUUGUAAAGAAGAUGGUUGCAAUUCUUCCUGGACCACAGAAUCCGAAAAUCCCAUAACGCUUCUGCUUUUCGCUUUAGGUUUAGCUUUGCUUCAAUGAAGAGGUCGAUUACUCUAUUAUUAUUGUUAUUAGCAGAAAGAAAAGUCGUCGUCAAUAGCGUACAGAACCAACCCACCAUUAGUUUUAUUAUUCGAAAGAAAAACUGGGCCUUAUAAACAUGCGGUAAGUGUUUCUUUUUUAUUUUAUUUAUUUAUAUUUGUUUUCUAUAUUGUUUUACUCUUUUACUCAUUUUUAUGAGAAUGUCUCGAAUAACACUCAAAAACAAUUUGGUGUACGCGGUUGUUCCUUAAGGGUAAUCGUAGGAGGAGAAAAAUCAUUAGAAUUAAAAACAGACACAUGGACAAUUAAGUGCUAAUUAAAUGCUGAUUAAGUGCUUUAAUGAGAUAUUAAAUGCUAAAGGCAUUUUUUCAAAUGUUACUAUUCUGCUAACUUAUAAUUAAGUAUGAUUUAUGUAUUUUGGUCCCAUAGGACUUAAAUGCUCAUUAAAUGCUUUCAGAACAGACAGUUACCAAUUAAAUGCUCUUAUUAGUUUCCCAGUAUAUAAUAUUUCGCGACUUAGACAAAAAGGGACUAAAAGCAGGUUUAAACAUAGAAAAUUACUGUUUAGAUAUUAUACUGUUUAAAAGCUCAUUGAAGGCCCAUUAAAUGCCGUAAUGAGAAAUUAAAUGCUUCAGGCAUAUUUGCAAAAGUUACCUCCUGUCUGUCACAUGAAGACUAAGUUAGCAGAGCAUUCGCGAAAAAAAUGUUUUAUCAAUGAGUAUGGCUUUUUUGGUCCUAUAGUACUUAAGUGCUCAUUAAAAGCCUUCAGAACAGACAGUUACGAAUUAAAUGCUCUCAUUAGUUUUCCAGUAUAUAAACGAUUUCGCGACUUGGACAAAAAAGAAUCUAAAAGCAAGUUUAAACAAAGAAAAUUACUGCUUGGGUCUUGUAGUGAUUAAAGACUCAUUGAAGGCUAAUUAAAUGCCCUAAUAAGAAAUUAAAUGCUUUGGGCACUUUGAAAACCAAAAACGCCAUUUCUAUUGUCUAAACAAUUUUUUCGCUCAUGUUUUCAGUUGGCAGAAGAGGAAUCAUCCCAGAGGAUUUAAUAUCUCAUUAUGGCACAUUAUUAGCAUUUAGUGAGCAUUUAAUUGCCUUAGUGUCUGUAUUUGUUUCUGUUGACUUUGGUCUUCCUACUUAAAGGAUAUUCGCCAUUCGUUUAAUCGUAACGGUCCAAGCUCAACAUCGUAAAUAAUUUGAACAUAUAAUAAUCUCGACGUUUCGAAUCGCCCCGUAUAUUUCUUCCUUUUUAUCGCAGUUCCGUUUGCGCUUUUCGUAUUAAAAAUUAAAGCGGUUUUUACGAGAACCCAUUUAAUUCGUGAUCAAAGGACAAAAGAAUUUUGAUUUGUGAAUCUCUUGCGGUUUGAUUGUAAGAGUACAUAAUACUUUAAAAUGCUUUUUAGAAAUUUUAUAUAUACAUAAUUAAUUAAUAGAUUAACAAUAACGAGUACCUAAUAAUGCACAUUUCUACAUAUAUAUAUAUAUGUAUUAUUACCUACGAAUUUUAGAAAAAGUAUCGCAUAUUAAAUAGUAAUAUAACAAUAUACAAUAGAUC